GACGAACGCUGGCGGCGUGCUUAACACAUGCAAGUCGAACGGAAAGGCCCUGCUUUUGUGGGGUGCUCGAGUGGCGAACGGGUGAGUAACACGUGAGUAACCUGCCCUUGACUUUGGGAUAACUUCAGGAAACUGGGGCUAAUACCGGAUAGGAGCUCCUGCUGCAUGGUGGGGGUUGGAAAGUUUCGGCGGUUGGGGAUGGACUCGCGGCUUAUCAGCUUGUUGGUGGGGUAGUGGCUUACCAAGGCUUUGACGGGUAGCCGGCCUGAGAGGGUGACCGGCCACAUUGGGACUGAGGUACGGCCCAGACUCCUACGGGAGGCAGCAGUGGGGAAUAUUGCACAAUGGGCGGAAGCCUGAUGCAGCAACGCCGCGUGCGGGAUGACGGCCUUCGGGUUGUAAACCGCUUUCGCCUGUGACGAAGCGUGAGUGAUGGUAAUGGGUAAAGAAGCACCGGCUAACUACGUG
rnacentral:rRNA from 1 species